rnacentral:lncRNA from 1 species
GCUUUUAGUCCUACCUUCAAAACUUUAGAACAUCUUUUUGUUAGUUGUUUGACACGAAGAAUGUAAGAUGGUUACUAUUUGAUUGAGACUUAUAUGUGUAAUAGAAUAUGUAUUCUUUUUAACUGUAGGCUCCAGUUACUCGUGAUUUACCCUCUAAUUGCUUGCCUGUUGAUACUAAUAAUUUUAAAUAUAUUGUGGACCCCUACAAUGAAGGAAGAGAAGCAGAAGCUUUAAGUCCUUCCCUAAAAAUAAAGGAAAUCCUAGAAAAAUACCGUGACCCAUUUACACGGCAGUGGGAAGGACUUAUUGGCAACAUACACGUUCCAAGGUUUGUAAUAUUCUAUAUCUGCUUUCAUGUUUUUUCCAUGUUUGUUUUUUUAAAUUGUACCUAUACCCAGAAGCUUCAGUCAUAAAAUAAGGUCAUAUUUUGCUGAGCUGAUAAAUGCAUAGUUAACCAUUGUCUUUGUCUCAAACAUAUAUUUAGGUUUGUAGACAGAAUAUUUUAGGGAUCUGAAAAACCAUGCCACAAAGUGACUUAGCCAGAUUGGUUUCAUCAGAGUUGCUACAUAUCUAUGUGUAGAUAAUCCAAUUUUGACAAAAAUUCUACUGGUGCAGUCUGUGAUGAAUAUGAUAUGUGAGCAUAAAUAUAAUUUCUGGCUUUGUUCAUAACUGUUUUUAAAUCCCAGUAUUAAAACUUAUAGCAUCUCCACACACAUUGAAUCAGCUGUCAGACUGAAGCACGCAUUUCAGAAGCAAAAUAGUGAAUGUCCAUCUCCCAGUUUACAAUUUCAAACAUCUGAUCAUAAAACUAAUACCAUUUUAUGGAGUUUAUUCAUAAGCACACUUUAUUCUUUAUAGAAGUACUUUACUUUUAAGUACUCAUGCCUGGGGACAGGUGAUGAGCCAACAGACAAC